GCCCUCCCCAUGCCCACCACUGCCGUGACUGUGGGUGCUGGGGUCCCUGCAGCCAGACCCAAGAGAACCCCAGGGGCUGGCGGUGGCACCAGAAAACGUCCAGAGCCUGGUUUCACCUUGGCCACAGAGCUGGAGGCUGGCAGGUGAGACACCGCGGGGCGUGCAGACGGCCAGCGCUCGACUUUGCCUAAAAAAGGAAGCGGCAGGCUGAGUCUGAGGAGCUGGCGGCAGGAACAAGGGAGAGCUGUGUCCCCGCCGGCGCCCCCCGCCCCCCCCGCCAGGGAUCUUGGCAGUGGAGGUGCUGGCUGGGCUCCACAGACCUCAGGCCUCCGCUGGGACCAGAAAUGCCUUGUGCUUCCGCCUGGGCCUGGUGGGGGGACUUUGGGUCCCCAGAGUGCGAGCUGUGCCACUCCGAGGGGCCUUACCAGGCCCCCCAGCCCCCAGCACACAGGGGAUGCUGUGGAGAUGACGCUCAAGGCCACAGCCGCUGGAGGAUCUGAAGUCUGACCGGAAGCUGGCUGCAGACCCUGCGGAGGCACACCCAGGUAGUCAAGCAGGGAGCUGGGCCGAGGGUCCCCCACCCUGGGGAGGCUCACAGCCAGUGGCCUGCUCGUCCCCCACCCCUGCCCAGCAGGCGGGCCACAGUCACACCUCAGCCUGCCCUGCUGGGCUGACGGGGAAGUUUCCCUCACUUCUGGAAAAAGUGAGCAGGUCUUCUUGGCUGUAACUCAGGCCCUCAAGGAAGCUGCCGCCCUCCUCCCUUCAGCUCGCCGUCAGCGGGAGAAGGCACAGGAGGCCUGGCCUCCACCCAGCCUGGGCCGAGCUCAGCCACCUGCCUUGCUCCCAGCUCUGCCUGGAGUCCCUCCUGCUAGGAGAUCCUCCCCAUCAGCUCUCCCCCUGCUCCUCAGCCUUCAGGACUCAUUCCUAUGUCCCGCCCUCCACCCGCUGUCUCCACCGCAGAGGAAGGACGUGGACAGAGGGUCUCAGAGAGCAUGGGGUCAGCCAGAGGUGCAGUGUCAGGGCCCGGGCCGGACUUGAGGCAGACACCAGAGGAAGCACAAAUAUAACAGCCGGAACCCUCCACUCUCCAGGGAGAAGGGCCCGGGGUAAGAUAAGCAGGGCAAGGACGGAUCAGGCCAGAUCACAGUGGCUCCUGGCCCCAAGCCUUCUGCCUCCUGCAGGCAUAGCCCCUGUCUGAUCCUGGUGGCCUUGGGCCCCACAGGGUGGGGAGCAGCCUGGUGUGGCUGCGGCCACCCUGCCCCCACGGUCUGGGCCUGGGCUGUGGGAGUCCUUGUGCCUCACUUCCCGGAGCCGGCCUGCCCUGCCGGUCUGUCUGCAGGCAGGUGGAGGGGGUUCCGGGAAGCUGGGGACGCUGCUCUCACCCGGGCACCGCCCUGCCCCCACCCCCCUUUGGGAAUGCUUCCUCCUCCGCACAAUCCAGGCUUCUGCAGAAGAAGGGCCUUUUGUCCCCAGCUGGCUGUGCUCAUGUUUGACCCCGGGGAAAAGGGCAACUCCUGAAGCCUCUGACCCCACCCCUGACCCAAGCCGAGGGCAGAACGCCCAGGCCCGCACCCGGCGCCUUUGGUUGCUGUUUUCGUGUAUCUCAUAAAUGUACUCAAGCACACAUUGGAACAGAUGGAAGAGGCGGUGAGGGGCAGCAGUGCGGGCCUGAGGCACUGCUCUGGGGUGUGCCUGAGCCCGGGACCCCACCCCAUAACAGUAAGUGGGGCAGAGCCGGGGUCACCAAGAGAGCAGGGCCCACCCAGCUCCUAGACUCAGCCUGCUCCCUAGGGUCAAAGGCAGGUCCUGGGGUCACUUUUCACUUCCCAGGAGCCCAGGACUGCCCCUCUGGCGCCAGAGCUGACCCCACUCAGUCUCCUGUGCCAGCAGCAGCUGGGGUGGCGGGUAGCAGCCUGGGUAGGGGGCGGGAGCCGCACCGUCUGCAUCUGUCCAUCCAUUCCUCGUCUGUGUGCUGGGCACAGCUGCACCCCGGCCUCAGCGCUGGGGACACACAGGCGCCAGGCCAGCACUGCCAGGCUAGGAGGGGUGGGCUGUGAACAGCUAGGAAAGAUACGGUCUACUUGUUUUCCCUGUGAGAACGGGGGGUCACUGGGGACUCACACGCAAGGGUACUCGAGGAAGAGACUUCCGGGCAGAGAGAAGGAACCUCGAGUACUGAGACCAGGGUGGGGUGGGCAGGAGGGGCCUGCACCGGGACAGCAGGGGCAGAGCAGGCUGGGGGCCUUUGGGAGGGGUGGCCGGGCUCCUGAGUGCAGCAUUCAGAAGCCAGGUGGGGGCUGCUGCUGGCCUCGGUGGGGGCAGGAGGUUCGACGCAGCGAGAACAGAGCCCGGCCCCGUGGGAGCCAGAGAGUAACAGGCCUGAAUGGCCCAGGGUUUCCCAAUAGCAGGGCCCCUUCCUUGUGUGGGUCCCCUCACUUUGCCUCUCUGCUGGGACAUCCUUCUCUGAAAGGGAGAGGACGACGACACACUGCUCCUUCCCUAGACACAGUCAGGACAGGCUUAGACCACAGCCCUGGGCAGACCCAAAACUCCCAGGGGCCUGGACCAGGGUUGGAAGGAGGCAGCAGGGAGGGACUGACCUAUGUCCACACACGAGGGACUCCCCAGAGGCAGGUUGGGCGGGGCUGGGAGCAGGGGCCUUAGCCCUCAGACCAGCCCACUAACCCUGGGGAGUUCCUGCCCCACAGCCUUCCCAGCUUACAGGCCUGGGGACAGGGGCAGGCCAGCACAGGCCAGAGGGACAGAGGGAACCACAUCUGAGGGGCCCCCCAGCUGUUGACACCGUCUGAGGCUGUGCUUGCCAACAACUGUGCUCCCAGGAAAUAUUUUGCAAAGCAGGAAAUGACACGGGGCAAGUGGGAAGCUCGCUCCAUCCAGUGGGGCGGGGCCCCUUACUGCCCCCCUGCCCCAGAAUGAGGCAUGAUGGGGACGCAGAUGGGACACACACAGGCACACACACUCUGGGCUCCCUUUCGGACAAGGCAGAGGCUCCAGCCACUGGGAAAGAACGCCAGGCAGAGGUCCCCACAGCCACCCCGAGGCCCCCACAGCCACCCCACAGUCCCCAUGGCCACCCCGAGGCCUCCACAGCCACCCCACAGUCCCCACGGCCACCCCGAGGCCCCCACGGCCACCCUGCAGCUCAGCUCCUCCACCCGAGGAGUUCAGGCCCCUGGGCCAGGGGAGAGCUGCGGUAGAGACUGCAGGAAGAGGAAGCUGCUUCUGGCCCUCAGGCUGGGGGAGGGGCUCUGGGGAAGGGGUGUAGAGGCACCCUCAGGGUGGGGGCCGGCCUGGGGACCCAGGGCCCUGAAGCGGGGUUUUGAUCAUGGGCGCCAUGCUGGGCAAAAGUGGGGAGAGAUUCGUGGGGUCCAGGUGGAGUCCUUCCCUGGCAGGGGCUAGAAGGACUGGGCAAAGGCCAACUAUAUACCUGGGGCCUUGAGGAGGGGCACCCUGGCUGGGGUCCCCACCUCCUCCUCAUUUCAUGCCCCCCUCCUGGCUUCCCAGAUGGUGGCCAAUAAGGAAGCUGCUUAGGAUCCAUGAAAGAGGCUAGGCAAGGACCGUCCCGGAAGAACCCAGGGGCCUCAACAGGGAGUCUGUUCAGUCCUAGGGGGUGGGGCCCCUGCCCCAGCACAGGGGCUCUGGCCUUCCUGAAUCACCCCUUCCUUGCUUCUUUUCCGCAGGCCAGGCCUCUGCUAUCCGGGGCUAUGGCCUGCCACAGGCGCGUUCCUACACCCCUCUGAACCGCCCACAGGCCCCCACAGGUGUUCCUCUGCGAGCUGGUCCAGCAGGCGGGGCUGGGGCCGGGCAUCGCUGCUCCGUGCCUUCAACUUCCCUGACAGUGCGGGACCUCAGGGUGGGCCUGGGAAGCUGGAAACACCUUUGGAAACAACUGCCUGAGGCAGCUGUGGACAGAAGCCCCUGCCGAGCAGCCAAAGGAGCUGGCCUCUCCACUCAGCCUCCCCACCCCCACCAGGCCCAGCUGUUGUUUUCAUGGCUCCGGAGCCAGGCGAUGCUCAGCCAAGAGCUUCCCAGGAGAGCCCUCAUCUUCAACCCCUAGUGGCGGCCAGAGCCAGCCCAGGCAGGAGGGGAAGGAAGGCAGCCGUGGCCCCGGGGAAGCCAUCCUGGCAGCUUGGCCACUGGCCCAGCUCCUGUCUGACCAGGAAAGGCAUCAAAGUCGGACUCGGAUGGAGGCUGGAAAACCCCGAAACUUCUGCUGGACUCAACCCAGCCACACACCAGGCUGUGCUCAAGGCUACGGAAUGAGCCUCGACCCUGAUCACAGGCUAAGCCUUGACCCUGGCCCCAGAUGGAGCCCAGACCUUGCUGGUCACAGGCUGAGCCCUGCUGGCAAUAUGAUAUACUAGAUCCCUUAAAAGGCCUUCCAGCAACAACCAGCUUCUGGAUGAAUUACUAUGAGCAUACAUUUUUAAUAGACUGCUGGGCUUCCAAGAAAGUAAAUAUCUCCAAGGCUCCCCCAAAAUUAAACAGCAAAAAUAAAUAAG